GAAUUUGAAGCAAUCUUGCAGCUAGUUUCGACCUAGCCCUCUGGUAUUUAAUUACCCUUAUUUU
rnacentral:tRNA from 1 species